rnacentral:SRP_RNA from 13 species
GCUGGGCACGGUGGCGCGUGCCUGUAAUCCCAGCUACUCGGGAGGCUGAGGCAGGAGAAUUGCCUGAACCCAGGAGGCGGAGGUUGCGGUGAGCCGAGAUCGCGCCAUUGCACUCCAGCCUGGGUAACAAGAGCGAAACUCCGUCUCAAAAAAAAAAAAAAAAAAAAAAUUGUCAAGAAAAUAGAUGUCAUCUUAAACGUUCUUACUACAAUUUUUUUUGGUGGGGGGUUUCAGGGGUGGAGUUUUGCUGUUGUCAUCCAGGCUGGAGUGCAAAUGGCAUGAUCUCGGCUCACUGCAACCUCUGCCUCCCGGGUUCAAGUGAUUCUCCUGCUU